AGCAUAUCAAUAAGCGGAGGAAAAGAAACUAACAAGGAUUCCCUUAGUAACUGCGAGUGAAGUGGGAAGAGCUCAAAUUUGAAAUCUGGCAGUCUCUGGCUGUCCGAGUUGUAAUCUAGAGAAGUGUUGCCCGCGCUGGACCGUGUACAAGUCUCCUGGGAUGGAGCGUCAUAGAGGGUGAGAAUCCCGUCUCUGACAUGGACUACCAGGGCUUUUGUGGUGCGCUCUCAAAGAGUCGAGUUGUUUGGGAAUGCAGCUCAAAAUGGGUGGUAAAUUCCAUCUAAAGCUAAAUAUUGGCGAGAGACCGAUAGUGAACAAGUACCGUGAGGGAAAGAUGAAAAGAACUUUGGAAAGAGAGUUAAACAGUACGUGAAAUUGCUGAAAGGGAAACGCUUGAAGUCAGUCGCGUUGGCCAGGGAUCAGCCUUGCUUCUUAGUGUGGUGUACUUCCUGGUUGACGGGUCAGCAUCGGUUUCGACUGCUGGAGAAAGGCUUGGGGAAUGUGGCAGCUCUGGCUGUGUUAUAGCCUCCUGUCAGAUACAGUGGUUGGGACUGAGGAACGCAGCAUGCCGCAAGGCCGGGGCUAAUAUCAGCCUACGUUCAUGCUUAGGAUGUUGACAUAAUGGC
rnacentral:rRNA from 1 species